UACAGGGGGUGCAAACGUUACUCGGAAUCAUUGGGCGUAAAGCGCACGUAGGCGGUUUGUUAUGUCGGAUGUGAAAGCCCUUGGCUUAACCGAGGAAGUGCAUCCGAAACUGGCGAGCUAGAGUACUAAAGAGGAUCGCGGAAUUCCCGGUGUAGAGGUGAAAUUCGUAGAUAUCGGGAGGAACACCGGUGGCGAAGGCGGCGAUCUGGGUAGAUACUGACGCUGAGGUGCGAAAGCGUGGGGAGCAAACAGG
rnacentral:rRNA from 1 species